rnacentral:rRNA from 1 species
CACUCCUACGGGAGACAGCAGUGGGGAAUAUUGGACAAUGGGCGCAAGCCUGAUCCAGCCAUGCCGCGUGAGUGAUGAAGGCCCUAGGGUUGUAAAGCUCUUUUGUGCGGGAAGAUAAUGACGGUACCGCAAGAAUAAGCCCCGGCGAACUUCGUGCCAGCAGACGCGGUAAUACGAAGGGGGCUAGCGUUGCUCGGAAUCACUGGGCGUAAAGGGUGCGUAGGCGGGUCUUUAAGUCAGGGGUGAAAUCCUGGAGCUCAACUCCAGAACUGCCUUUGAUACUGAAGAUCUUGAGUUCGGGAGAGGUGAGUGGAACUGCGAGUGUAGAGGUGAAAUUCGUAGAUAUUCGCAAGAACACCAGUGGCGAAGGCGGCUCACUGGCCCGAUACUGACGCUGAGGCACGAAAGCGUGGGGAGCAAACAGGAUUAGAAACCCUAGUAGUCCC